AGCAGCCGCGGUAAUUCCAGCUCCAAUAGCGUAUAUUAAAGUUGUUGCAGUUAAAAAGCUCGCAGUUGAAUUUCGGGGUCAGUAGUCUGGUCGUGCCACUGGUAUGUACUGGGCUCACUGAUUCCUCCUUCCUGAUGAACUGUAAUGCCAUUAAUUUGGUGUUGCAGGGAAACUGGACUGUUACUUUGAAAAAAUUAGAGUGUUUAAAGCAGGCUAACGCUUGAAUACAUUAGCAUGGAAUAAUGAAAUAGGACGUUCGAUCCUAUUUCGUUGGUUUCUAGGAUUGACGUAAUGAUUAAUAGGGAUAGUUGGGGGCAUUAGUAUUCAAUUGUCAGAGGUGAAAUUCUUGGAUUUAUUGAAGACUAACUACUGCGAAAGCAUUUGCCAAGGAUGUUUUCAUUAAUCAAGAACGAAAGUUAGGGGAUCGAAGACGAUCAGAUACCGUCGUAG
rnacentral:rRNA from 1 species